rnacentral:rRNA from 1 species
GGAUAUUGCACAAUGGGGGAAACCCUGAUGCAGCGACGCCGCGUGGAGGAAGACGGUCCUCUGGAUUGUAAACUUCUGUCUUAUGGGACGAUAAUGACGGUACCAUAGGAGGAAGCACCGGCUAACUACGUGCCAGCAGCCGCGGUAAUACGUAGGGUGCGAGCGUUGUCCGGAAUUACUGGGUGUAAAGGGAGCGUAGGCGGGGAUGCAAGUCAAGUGUCAAAUCUAUCGGCUCAACCGAUAGCCGCGCUUGAAACUGUGUCUCUUGAGUGAAGUAGAGGCAGGCGGAAUUCCUAGUGUAGCGGUGAAAUGCGUAGAUAUUAGGAGGAACACCAGUGGCGAAGGCGGCCUGCUGGGCUUUUACUGACGCUGAGGCUCGAAAGUGUGGGGAGCAAACAGG